CACACAAUUACAAGAGUAAAUAAUCAUUACCCAUUUACAGCCAUUCACCAUCCUAAUUGGGAAACCAAAUAGACCCUUGAUUGAACUCAAUUGUCAGUUAUGUAUCCAAAUGCAACCUAAGCUAUUUCAUUCUCGAUCUAUUAAAUGCUCAUCUGUUUACACAAAACUUACAUGAAUUCACUGAACAUAUCAAGUGAUUUUGUUCUCCAAUGCAUCUUGCGCGGGUCCGGAUGAAGAUGGCGUGUGUUACAUGGUUCUAUGUCAAGUUAUCACAGGAAAUAUGGAGGAAAUCUUGGUGGGGUCUUGGCAAUUUUUGCUCAGCAAUGAAGAAUUUAACAAUGGUGUUGAUAGUUCGAGAGAUCCAACACACUACGUUGUUUGGAGCAUCAACAUGAAUACAUACAUUCUCCCUGAAUAUGUUGUAAGCUUCGGAGUUUUAGAGUAGUUGGAAGAUAGAAGAAAGCUUCAAGAGACGGGGGCUGUUCUGACAUGUCCUGGUUCUCCGGGAGACAUCUCAAUACCUGUUUGAGUACUCAUGUUCAACCAGUAUAAUCCAUUCCACAUUUUCAAAUUAUCUUUUGUAGUAAUGUUUUCCAAAAUCUACUACCAUCUAUUAGUGGUGGGUGGGAUUCCCAUGAGCAUUCAAAAUAGGAUUCAUGCCUCCUAAACCUCAGAAUGGUUUGGGAAUUCUAUUUUGGAUGUGCCUACGGGUCCCAUCUACUACCAAUGGAUGGUGGGACAUUUUGGAACGCAGUCUCUAGCAUUCCCGUUGUCAGACAGUCUUUUCCAUAUUAUUGUACAUAGCAUGCCCUUUUUGUAUGAAAUGGUUUAUUACGGUAUCUAGGUUCCUCCUCUGGUGCUCCCCCUUCCAGCCUUCCUUCAAGGACAGAGCAUGGCAGGACAUCCCCAUCCCAGAAUGGUAUUAGCAUGGCAGAAUUUUUCUCAUUACAAUACCAAACAUAUUGUACCAGGCAUAAUUCUCAGCAAUGAGAGGAAGCCUUCCUCAAAGUAGUUUUGGAACAUUGGAAAACAUAUAAUGAUGCACUGGUAAUUCAUCGUAAGGCUACUAGGUGUUUAUUUGUUAUGCAAUUUUACAUAAAGGAUAUACCGUAUGAUCCUGAUUUCACUAUAAUUUCCAGGUUGGGAAAAUUAGAUUACACGACCUUGUUAGAACAAUAAGGUUGGUAGAGAUGAAUUACUUUUUGCGACCGUCAAAGCAUGCUGGACAGGUAUAACCUUUAAGCUCCUUUUGUCCUAAAUGAUAGUUCAAUUGGGCGUCAUUGGAACCUUUUGUUUGGAUUUGUCAACAUCAGACGUGGGGACUGACACAAGCCACACAAACAUGUGGAGAAGAGCUGUUUGAUAACAUCCUUGGUGUUUUAUUCAUUGCUUGAGUUGCAUUUCCACUGUUGUUAUAUUAAUUUCUACAAAGAGAACAUCAAACUUCCUUGCAUUUGGAUUUAAAUGAAGGAUAUAGUGCAGACAUUCGUUUUCAUCCAAAGCCACACUUCUUUUGAGAAGGCGGUCAGUACCACUGAUUAUUUAUUGAUCAAUAAACUCCAUUUGCAACUUGUUACUGAAGAAA